rnacentral:rRNA from 1 species
AUGUCAUCUGAUGACGAAAACGAUUUCAUUAUGUGUGAAGACCGCGAAGACCAACGCGGCCUGUGCUACAAAAAUUUGCUAGUUGAUGAUAGGCGCUUCAGCAUCAAGAUGGAUGAGACCUUCAAAGUGGAUACACAUAUCCCCUGCCAUGCAAGAAUUUUUGUCUUGGAUAAGAUAGGUUUCAGUCCUAACAAAACUAUGGAGGUAAAGAGAGUUUACUUGAAGACCGACUAUCGUUAUACCUUCAACGUCAAAGUAUACAAUCAAGACACCUACACCCAUUUUGAAUACAAAACUUGGCAAGCACUAUGCAAGGCUUAUGCAUUUGAGCCUGAUAUGUUUACCACCUUGAUAUUCGUCCCGAAGAUGAUAUUGAAGCUUAUUUUCAUUCAAGCAAACAUGUCCAGCGCUUGGUAG